GGCCCCGCCCACCCAUCGCCUUUGCCACCCUCGAACGGGCAAAAGAAAGAAAGAGGCAGGUAAGGGGAGGCGAGGCCGUCCAAAAACGCUGGGUGUCAGCCCGGGGUGGCUAAUGGAGGGCGGCUUUUCUGGUGGGAUGAAAUGGAACGGCAAAUCCCACUUCAUCCCCUUUGGGCUAUGACAACAUCAUAGUCCAAUCUCCCAUUUUAUGAACAGGGAAACUGAGGCUCAGUGACUAGACAGACGUUGCCCAGAGUCAUGGUCAUGGAGGAAGCUUGUGCUAGAAUGGUGGAGAGGAAACCAGAGCCCAGCUCCUAAUGCAAGGCUCUUUCAUUCCUUUAGCCACCCUCGCCCCCGCCAAAACAAACAGACAAAAAACUGUCAUUCUCAUAUGACCACGGACUCUGCGCCCCGGCCGCAGGCGGAGGACAGGGAGGAGCGCACACGAGAAAGCUCCCACGCGCCCGCGCCUCGCCUCCGACGGGAAGGCGCCUCUUCCGACCGUCCUGGAUGCAAAUUAAAUACUUCCCUCCGCAGAAGACUUAUCUCGGGGUAGGGCCGCAGCCGGAUUUCCAAAUCGCGGGUUUGAUUUUCGCUGCGUCCUCUCCGCGACGCGCGCAGGGAGCGCGCCCGGCCACCUGCAGCCUCUGGCUGCGGCCAUCUUUCCGCCUGGGGCCACCUGGCCUGCGCCCUUUGUGCCCGGCCCGCUCCGUGACUGUUCUUCUUGCCGCUACUUACAGAACUCAGCCGCCUUAGCGUCUUAGAGAAGAGGACGGCAUGCAUGCGGACCCCGUCCACCACACCUGGAGAGCAGGGAGCCCUUAGUCCCUGGACACUUACCAGGGCCGCCACCCCUGGUCCACGCACGUGAUGACAUCUCACCAGGGGCAGCACACCGCCCGAGUCCGCGACACUGAUAACACCUCCUGCGGGCAGGAGGGCGCCACAGCCACCCCUGGUCCCCUAGAUUGUGUGAGGCUAGCAUUUCUGCCCGCCUCUUGGCGUGGACAGCACGCUGGACCGAGAUGGAACCACAGCUUUCUCUUCCCAAUCCCUGGCCUCACCGUUUUGUUUCAUACCUCACCGUUUGUUUCAAACCUCGUGGUGUUGAAAUGAUUAAAUGAGAUUAAGGGGUGUGUGGUAGUGUUGGGCAAACCACAAGAAAACGGUCUGGGUGGGGUCUGGCCCUAAAAUCUUCCUCCCCCACCUCCCAGGCUUCCUUGCCUUGCUGCUUCCUCUCAGCCUUUAAACAGGUUGGCCUCUCCAAGUCCUAAAAACAAAAUUAUCAAGCCAACCUCCUCCUGAAGUGCUCCCUCCAACUAGCUUCCAAGUGUUUCAUGCGGACCUCAAACAAUGGUCUUCCCUGGCUGCCUCUGCUUCCUCAUUUCUCAACACUUGGCAUUCUGGCUUCUCCUCCCCAACUCUAACCCUUCACCUUGCUCAGGCAAGAGCAACUCAUGACUUUCAUUUUGCCAAACCUUGCAGGCAUUCCUCAGGCCUUAUCUCUCUGGUUCUUUCUGCUACAUUUGACACCUUGGGAUGACUCUCACCUUCUGGAAUCUCUCUACUACCUUGGUUUCAGAAGAGUGAACCCUCUGGAUUAUCACAUGAAGCUACUUCCUGUGAGCAGCCCAGGGAUGGCCAGUCACUUGUGACCUACUUUCAGAGCUGGCAGUUCUGACUUCUAGAACAAACUCGGAACAAGCCCAUCUACAGCUGGUUGACUGAGUUUCCUUUGGGCUCCUGGCACCAGAAAGAAUUGCUCACUGGAAGGAUCAUAGGUGGCACUCAUGUCUCACUGCCCCACUCAGAGCAGAGAUGCCUCACUGUGAUAGGUAAAUUAAGGUGAUACUGAUUGCCAGCUCCAGUGUGGAAGUCCCGAGGUGAAGGAAUUUCUUUCAUAAACAUUUCAAAAGCGGAGUGCGGUGACUCUCGCCUAUAAUCCCAGAAUUUUGAGAGGCCAAGGUGGGCAGCUCACUUGAGCUCAGAUGUUCGAGACCAGCCUGGGCAACAUGGCAAAACCCCAUCUCUACAAAAAAUACAAAAAUUAGCCAGGCAUGGUGGUGUGCACCUGUAGUCCCAGAUACCUGGAGGCUGAGGUGGAAGGAUCACUUGAGCCUGGGAGGCAGAGGUUGCAGUGAGCCAAGAUCACAUCACUGCACUCCAGCCUGAGUGACAGUGAGACUCUGUCUCAAAAAAGGAAAAAAGAAAAGAAAUUAAAAUUAAAUAAAUUUUAAAAAUCUUUUUUUCUUUCUUUCUUUCUUUUUCUUUUUUUCAAAGAAGUCUCCUAAGAGCCAGGCUAUUAGCACUAUCCUCCCUUUCAAGUGCUAUACAGUGAUCAGGUGAAACUGGAGAACAUCUGAGUUGGGAGAGAAUUCUAAGAUCUCAAGUGUAAAAGCUUAAUUUCACUGACUAAAAACUGAAGUCCAGAAAAGGAAAGAGGUUUUUGGCAAGGGGACACAGCCAACUGGUGGCAGAGCUGGCAAUAGAACCCAGGAUCCUUUUGACAACCCCCACCCCACAUACACACAUCCUCCCAAAGUGUGAUCUUGCUCCAAAAAGCUAGCUUCUCUCCGAGUUUUCGCGUUUCUAUCAGAAGCCCCCUCAUCCUUUUCUUUUUCUCCCCCCUUUAUGGCUAUCUAUCUUCUACAG
rnacentral:lncRNA from 1 species